rnacentral:misc_RNA from 1 species
GAUAAUUUCAAGCACUCCAUUAAGAAGCUUUUAUUUCAAAGAUUGUACUUUCAUGACUGACUUGAAGAAAGGCUAUGAUAGUAUCUCCUAAACACCCUGAUCGUUGUGACACCAGAAUAGGAGAAGAAAAAAAAAAGAUAGGGAAAUAUUUAUUCCCAGGAAAAUUCAGGAAGAAUUAGUGAAAAGAGAAUAAGCAGAAUAGUUUUUGAAAAAAGAAAGAAAUGGAAGAGUAGAGACUUACCCCCUAUUUGGAAACUUGGAAACUAGAAUUUUAUUGGU